UGGGAUAAAAAAUCUGUCGCUCUUUUCUUUUUUUAAAGUAAUGAGAGGAAAGUCCGGACUACAAAUAGUAACACAAAGGCUAACGGCCUUCCACCUAAAGGUGAGGACAAGUGGAACAGAAAGAAUGUCUGGCGCGUUUGUAUUUAUAAGGUGAAAUUCCUUUUAAAAAGUGGCCAGAGUGAAAACAGCUAAACUCUGUGUGUAGCAAGGUCAAAUAGGAAGAUGCUUGAGUGUAACUAGCACAAAAUCUUCGGGUAGACUGCAAGAGAAAGUCAGUAAUGGCUUUCCUAGAUGAAUGGCAGAGCACUUUUAAGUGUAUGGGCUUAAAAUAUAACAAAAUCCGGCUUACUAUUUAUCCCUUUCC
rnacentral:RNase_P_RNA from 1 species